GCGGUGUCAAUCCUCUGGAUCUCAGUCAGCGGGAUGUAGGGCUGCUCCUCGUUGUAGUGGUAGAGGUAGAGGCGCCCCGUCCGGUCGCAGGCCUCGUGGCUCCCUCUGCAGUCGGUCGCAGGCCAGGAUGCUGUGCCAGCCCUCCACCGGGCACCACUCCACCGCGUCGGCGCUGAACUCCGUGUCCACCACCUGCAGCGUUCGCGUCCGGCACGGGGCCGCCAUCUCAGGCCGCGCUCAUACCGCGCGGGGCGGCCCCG
rnacentral:lncRNA from 1 species